rnacentral:rRNA from 1 species
CCUACGGGAGGCUGCAGUGGGGAAUAUUGCACAAUGGGGGAAACCCUGAUGCAGCGACGCCGCGUGAGUGAAGAAGUAUUUCGGUACGUAAAGCUCUAUCAGCAGGGAAGAAAAACCGGCCUUAGGGCCGCCAGACGGUACCUGACUAAGAAGCCCCGGCUAACUACGUGCCAGCAGCCGCGGUAAUACGUAGGGGGCGAGCGUUAUCCGGAUUUACUGGGUGUAAAGGGAGCGUAGACGGCAGUGCAAGUCUGGAGUGAAAUGCCGGGGCCCAACCCCGGAACUGCCUUGGAAACUGGGCAGCUGGAGUGCAUGAGAGGUAAGCGGAAUUCCUAGUGUAGCGGUGAAAUGCGUAGAUAUUAGGAGGAACACCAGUGGCGAAGGCGGCUUACUGGACCGUAACUGACGUUGAGGCUCGAAAGCGUGGGGAGCAAACAGGAUUAGAUACCCCAGUAGUC